rnacentral:rRNA from 1 species
UACGUAGGGGGCAAGCGUUAUCCGGAUUUAUUGGGCGUAAAGGGAACGCAGGCGGUCUUUUAAGUCUGAUGUGAAAGCCUUCGGCUUAACCGGAGUAGUGCAUUGGAAACUGGGAGACUUGAGUGCAGGAGAGGAGAGUGGAAUUCCAUGUGUAGCGGUGAAAUGCGUAGAUAUAUGGAGGAACACCGGUGGCGAAAGCGGCUCUCUGGCCUGUAACUGACACUGAGGCUCGAAAGCGUGGGGAGCAAACAGG